CCUACGGGAGGCAGCAGUCGAGAAUCAUUCACAAUGGGGGAAACCCUGAUGGUGCGACGCCGCGUGGGGGAAUGAAGGUCUUCGGAUUGUAAACCCCUGUCAUGUGGGAGCAAAUUAAAAAGAUAGUACCACAAGAGGAAGAGACGGCUAACUCUGUGCCAGCACCCGCGGUAAUACAGAGGGCUCAAGCGUUGUUCGGAAUCACGGGGCGUAAAGCGUGCGUAGGCGGUUUCGUAAGUCGUGUGUGAAAGGCGCGGGCCCAACCCGCGGACGGCACAUGAUACUGCGAGACUAGAGGAAGGGAGGGGGAACGGGAAUUCUCGGUGUAGCAGGGAAAUGGGUAGAUAUCGAGGGGAAAACUGGGGGCGAAGGCGGGUUCCUGGACAUUAACUGACGCUGAGGCACGAAGGCCAGGGGAGCGAAAGGGAUUAGAUACCCGAGAGUC
rnacentral:rRNA from 1 species